rnacentral:lncRNA from 1 species
GGAAAAUCCAUGAGCAUUCAUGUUCUCAUCUCCUCAGAGAUGAGUCAUCCAAUCCUUUAUCUCUUUCUAUUGUUCACUCAGCCUGAGUCUCUUCUAAUUAAAACAUCUGGUAACUCCUACAGAUGUUUCUAGACUGAAUAGUGCACCCUUUCUUCAUGGCUUGCUGGACCCCCAUCUUACAAAACAGUCUGAUCUCUUUCGGUGGGUGCUCAGUAGCAUUUCAACACGGCACUGGCAGAAGGAAACCUACGAGGAGCCAUCGGAACACGAGUGCAAGGCGAAAAAGACCACUCCCUGGCUAAUGUUUGUGACAAUCUGAUGGAGAAGGAAGUGAGGCAGAAUGAUUCCCUCUUGGGAGAAAUUGAGCUUGUUUGUUAUUUUCCACCAAAAAAUUGCUUGAUGGAGGCAAAUAAAAUUCUGCAACUACUCCUGUUUCCUAAAUACUGCAUGAAAGCCCCAUGCACGUCUGGUUUCAGCAAAUAGAGAGAAUCUUCAGCAUGAGACAAAUCAUACCUGUAAACAGGAGAGAAGCUUGACAAAAGGUUCAGAAAUUGAGGGUCCACAGCAAAACAAGUGGUCUGUAACACAGAUUGUAUAUUUCAACUAUGUAGAUUUUUUUUUGAAACUGAAAAAAAUAAAUAUAGCAAACCCUUGCAUUGUAUGUAAUGUUCAUCUUUGUAUAGAUCUUGUUUCCAAAUUUUGCUUUUCAGGAAGUUGAUUUAUAGCUGUGAAAUUGCUGUUCCUUUUGUAUUUCUAAGAAACUAAAAGUUAUCAAGUUAGCCC